GAUACCCUAUUAUUUUGAAUGUGAGUAUUUGUCCUUAGUUAUUAAUAGUUAAGUUCUUUAAAGUUAAAAAAUUUGGCGGUAUUUUAGUCUGUUCAGAGGAACCUGUUUUUUAAUCGAUGGUCCACGAUUAGCUUUAUUUUGGUUAGUAAAUUUAUAUAUCGUUGUUUAUAAAAAUUUCAGGAGAAUUAUAAUUUUUAGUAUUUUUUAUUAAAGUGUAUUUCAGAUCAAGGUGUAGUUUAUAUCAAAGUUAAAAUGGGUUACAUUAUAUUUAUAUGUGGUUUCUUGGUUUAUAAUUAAGGAUAAAUUGGAUUUGAUAGUAAAUACUAAUUAUUUGUGUUUUGAUUUAGCUCUAAAAUAUGCACACAUCGCC
rnacentral:rRNA from 1 species